rnacentral:rRNA from 1 species
GAUGAACGCUGGCGGCGUGCCUAAUACAUGCAAGUCGAGCGAACGGACGAGAAGCUUGCUUCUCUGAUGUUAGCGGCGGACGGGUGAGUAACACGUGGAUAACCUACCUAUAAGACUAGGAUAACUUCGGGAAACCGGAGCUAAUACCGGAUAAUAUUUUGAACCGCAUGGUUCAAAAGUGAAAGACGGUCUUGCUGUCACUUAUAGAUGGAUCCGCGCUGCAUUAGCUAGUUGGUAAGGUAACGGCUUACCAAGGCAACGAUGCAUAGCCGACCUGAGAGGGUGAUCGGCCACACUGGAACUGAGACACGGUCCAGACUCCUACGGGAGGCAGCAGUAGGGAAUCUUCCGCAAUGGGCGAAAGCCUGACGGAGCAACGCCGCGUGAGUGAUGAAGGUCCUCGGAUCGUAAAACUCUGUUAUUAGGGAAGAACAUAUGUGUAAGUAACUGUGCACAUCUUGACGGUACCUAAUCAGAAAGCCACGGCUAACUACGUG